GUGCCAGCAGCCGCGGUAAUACGAAGGUCCCAAGCGUUGUUCGGAAUCACUGGGCGUAAAGGGAGCGUAGGCUGCGCGGUAAGUCAGAUGUGAAAUCCCGGGGCUCAACCCCGGAACUGCAUCCGAUACUGCCGUGCUUGAGGGUUGGAGAGGUAGCUGGAAUUCUCGGUGUAGCAGUGAAAUGCGUGGAUAUCGAGAGGAACACUCGUGGCGAAAGCGAGCUACUGGACAACAUCUGACGCUGAGGCUCGAAGGCCAGGGGAGCAAAAGGGAUUAGAUACCCCUGUAGUCCUGGCAGUAAACGGUGUGCGCUUGGUGUGAGGGGAUUCGACCCCCCUUGUGCCGGAGCUAACGCGUUAAGCGCACCGCCUGGGAAGUACGGCCGCAAGGCUAAAACUCAAAUGAAUUGGCGG
rnacentral:rRNA from 1 species